ACAGGCUGCUGCUGAGCUGAAGAUGGAUAAGCGGAAGAAACGCCCGGGUGGCGCUGAAAAACUGCGACUUAAAAAGCUGAAGUCUCUGGAGGUGGCGGCUGCUAAAUAUUCUAAAUUGACGGACCUAUCUGGUGCCGGGGUCACCGGCCCAGCAGGUGCUGCCGCGCCGGGAGACGAGCGAGAGGAGACAUACAUGGUUGACCACCCUAUAUAUGAGAGCCUAAGGAGUUGUUUUCCCUCUGUCCCCUUUUGAGGACCUCCUUUGUCUCCUCCAUCAUUCACUGGGCCACUUUUGGGUUCCUGAGCUCAUUUCAUGUGCUGAGAGGAAUGCAAUAUGUGUAUGUUUAAAGGUUUAUGUGAAGAAACAUACUAUAUGUGUGAUAAAAUGACAAUUGGUCAUUCAUAAAUAUCUCUUUAUAUUCUCUGCUACCAUUAUCUCCUGUCAAACAGGUUUUCCUGACCUGCUAGAAGUUCUUUUAUGAUGCUUGAGUCAUCCAUCAUAUCUGAGAGCUUCGUCUUGACUUUGUCAUGAAUUUGGUGAGGAGCGGAGCUGGCUGGCUGCGGACGAGGAAGUAGGGCAAUACAUACUUGUGCACAUACACAUAUAUGAGAAUGCAUAUCUAUUCAGACCUGUAACCCAUGUCUUAGACUUUUUCACACAGCUAUAUAUUUUUUUUUUCUCACCGUUGAGCGAGUGAGUUUCAGCUCUAAUGCUGCUACUGUCUGUAAUAUGUUUCUAUUUAGAUUAUUUGUCAGGAUAUUUUUUUGUUAUUAUUGUCCGAGUCUGGUUUUAACUAAUGCUGGGCUUACAGACUAAAAACUGAAAGGGUAGCAUAAAGGUUCUUCCCGUUAGUCUCGUCCCACCCCUAGUCAUGACAUAACUUCUGUUAUGAUUUGACACUAUAAUGAAUAAAGAUUGAUUGAUUGAUUGCUAUAGCUGUCAAUUUUAG